GCGUCGACGGCCGAGUGGUUAGAAGUUGGACUCAAAAUCCAAUGCGAUAUUCCGGUGCAGGUUCGAAUCCUGUUCGCAGCG
rnacentral:tRNA from 1 species